GCUUCUCACAAUGAGGUUCCCUGGUCAGCUGCUGGGGCUGCUGGUGCUCUGGAUCCCAGGAUCCAAUGGGGAUGUCGUGCUGUCACAGACCCCUCUCUCCCUGCCCAUCACCCUUGGACAGCCGGCUUCCAUCUCCUGCAGGGCCAGUCAGAGCCUCCUACACAGUGGUGGAUACACCUAUUUAGAUUGGUACCUGCAGAAGCCAGGCCAGUCUCCACGGCUCCUCAUCUAUCUUGUUUCCAACCGGGCCUCUGGGGUUCCUGACAGGUUCAGUGGCAGCGGGUCAGGGACAGAUUUCACCCUGACAAUCAGCAGGGUGGAGGCUGAGGACAUCGGGGUUUAUUACUGCUACCAAGAAAUCAGGACACUGGGUGACACAUUCGGGGGUGGUCCUCAGGUAGAAGUCUUACAAAUUGGGGCACUAGAUGAUGGAUUCAAGCCCUUCAUUCUUCAAGGAAAAGCAGGGAGUUACAAGUUUCCUCCCAUUGUAUAUUAUUGUAUUGAGGGUGAAGUUUACAGCAAGAAUGUGUCCCUGGUUCGUGCACCUGUUUCAGUCUGUGUAUUUCCUCCUUAA